AUUGCGUCUCUGUAAGGGGUCCUUAGGUCUCAGAGCUACACAGGGGCUAAAAAAGAAAAGGCAGAAACUUCACUUCUUGACAAAUUAUGUUCCUGUCUUUAGCCUGGUUGCAUAACAGAAGCAGAAGGAAAUGGUGGGGCAGAUAGAGAACACGCGGGAGCCCAUGUGAUAAUGACAGCACCUCACUAACACUCAUAGGCAGAUUGCCGAUGAAUACGGGUGCAUUAUUAGGAAAUCUGAGGGAGAGGCUAUCGGAGAAGCAUCUUCAUCUUUAAAGAUAGAAACAGAGAAGAAAAGAAAGGAGAUGUCGAGCACACACACUUCAGCCUCCAGCACAGAUCCUUUGGCCUCCUGACACGGACCUGCAACAGGCACUCCAUUGAGCUCCAGGCUUCAGCUGGAUCCUUCAGACCUUCAGGACAAAGACAGACUACCUGACCCUGUAAAGUGCCCGCUAUCAGCCA
rnacentral:lncRNA from 1 species